rnacentral:rRNA from 1 species
UACGUAGGGGGCUAGCGUUGUCCGGAAUCAUUGGGCGUAAAGAGCUCGUAGGCGGUCUGUCGCGUCUGCUGUGAAAACUCGGGGCUUAACCCCGGGCCUGCAGUGGGUACGGGCAGACUAGAGUGCGGUAGGGGAGACUGGAAUUCCUGGUGUAGCGGUGAAAUGCGCAGAUAUCAGGAGGAACACCGGUGGCGAAGGCGGGUCUCUGGGCCGAUAUUGACGCUGAGGAGCGAAAGCGUGGGGAGCGAACAGG